rnacentral:lncRNA from 1 species
UGAGGAGAUUUUCACCAGCACAGACCAUAGGUGGGUCGGAGAUAGGGGAGUGGAGCUAUGGUCACUCCAUGAUUUUUUGAUGCUAUGGCAGGCAGAGUCAUAGGAGUAGUGGCGAUUAGAGCUGAUGGGCCAGUGGUGACUAGAGCCACUAAAACAGCAAUGAGUAGAGUUGCUGGAGCUACGACGGUUGGAAGUCAUAGGUGGAGUAGCUGGUGGUGCGACAAGAAGAGUCUUAGAGGCAGCAGUAGGAGCAGCUACUGAAUCAGUGAUGGGCAUAGCCACUAAUGAUAGGACCUAUAGGAGAGAUGUCCAGAUGCAGGAUGAGAUCUUCAGCCAUAAGGGAGGUAGUGGCGGUCUCCCGAAUAGCUCCAGGACUGAGAUAUACUAUGGUGGUGAGGCAGUCUGCACAGCUGGCUUUACUCCUCAUUAGCCAGGUCAUGCAGAGGAUCAGAUCUCGAUGAAGAGUGGAGAUCACUAAGACUUUGAGGGCACUAAGAUAGAGAUUAUAGGAUUUUUGUGGUACCCCAUAGCCUUGG